CGUGAGGGAAAGGCGAAAAGAACCCCGGCGAGGGGAGUGAAAAAGAACCUGAAACCGUGUACGUACAAGCAGUGGGAGCCUCUUAAUGGGGUGACUGCGUACCUUUUGUAUAAUGGGUCAGCGACUUAUAUUCUGUAGCAAGGUUAACCGAAUAGGGGAGCCGAAGGGAAACCGAGUCUUAACUGGGCGUUAAGUUGCAGGGUAUAGACCCGAAACCCGGUGAUCUAGCCAUGGGCAGGUUGAAGGUUGGGUAACACUAACUGGAGGACCGAACCGACUAAUGUUGAAAAAUUAGCGGAUGACUUGUGGCUGGGGGUGAAAGGCCAAUCAAACCGGGAGAUAGCUGGUUCUCCCCGAAAGCUAUUUAGGUAGCGCCUCGUGAAUUCAUCUCCGGGGGUAGAGCACUGUUUCGGCAAGGGGGUCAUCCCGACUUACCAACCCGAUGCAAACUGCGAAUACCGGAGAAUGUUAUCACGGGAGACACACGGCGGGUGCUAACGUCCGUCGUGAAGAGGGAAACAACCCAGACCGCCAGCUAAGGUCCCAAAGUCAUGGUUAAGUGGGAAACGAUGUGGGAAGGCCCAGACAGCCAGGAUGUUGGCUUAGAAGCAGCCAUCAUUUAAAGAAAGCGUAAUAGCUCACUGGUCGAGUCGGCCUGCGCGGAAGAUGUAACGGGGCUAAACCAUG
rnacentral:rRNA from 1 species